GGAUUGUAGUCUGNAACCCGACUACAUGAAGCUGGAAUCGCUAGUAAUCGCGGAUCAGAAUGCCGCGGUGAAUACGUUCCCGGGUCUUGUACACACCGCCCGUCACACCAUGGGAGUCGGAAAUGCCCGAAGUCUGUGACCCAACCUACGGGAGGGAGCAGCCGAAGGCAGGUCGGAUGACUGGGGUGAAGUCGUAACAAGGUAGC
rnacentral:rRNA from 1 species